AUUUCAAAUUGGAUGAUGAUAAUAAGUACAUUUCAUCUGAAGAUUUAGCAAAAUACAUAGUGAAAGGUGUCAGAUACUCUUAGAAAUGUAUCAUUGACAGCAAUCAACUUAAGAUGAUUGCAAACCAAUUUUGAAUAAAAACUGUUCAUCAUGAGGCAGUAUCAUAAAUGUUCAUGUGGUCCUCCUUCCAAAUUUGAAUAAAUUUAUUUCAACUUCA